AACGUAGGACGCAAGCGUUAUCCGGAGUUACUGGGCGUAAAGCGUGCGCAGGCGGUUUCUUAAGUCAGAUGUGAAAGCCCCGGGCUUAACCUGGGAACUGCGUUUGAAACUGGGAGACUUGAGUGUGGCAGAGGGGGGUGGAAUUCCGUGGUGUAGCGGUGAAAUGCGCAGAUAUCAGGAGGAACACCAACUGCGAAGGCAGCUCGCUGGGACGUUACUGACGCUGAGACGCGAAAGCGUGGGGAGCAAACAGG
rnacentral:rRNA from 1 species